rnacentral:rRNA from 1 species
GAUGAACGCUGGCGGCGUGCCUAAUACAUGCAAGUCGAGCGAACAGACGAGGAGCUUGCCCCUCUAACGUUAGCGGCGGACGGGUGAGUAACACGUGGAUAACCUACCUAUAAGACUGGGAUAACUUCGGGAAACCGGAGCUAAUACCGGAUAAUAUAUUGAACCGCAUGGUUCAAUAGUGAAAGACGGUUUUGCUGUCACUUAUAGAUGGAUCCGCGCCGCAUUAGCUAGUUGGUAAGGUAACGGCUUACCAAGGCAACGAUGCGUAGCCGACCUGAGAGGGUGAUCGGCCACACUGGAACUGAGACACGGUCCAGACUCCUACGGGAGGCAGCAGUAGGGAAUCUUCCGCAAUGGGCGAAAGCAUGACGGAGCAACGCCGCGUGAGUGAUGAAGGUCUUCGGAUCGUAAAACUCUGUUAUUAGGGAAGAACAAAUGUGUAAGUAACUAUGCACGUCUUGACGGUACCUAAUCAGAAAGCCACGGCUAACUACGUG